UACGUAGGGUGCGAGCGUUAAUCGGAAUUACUGGGCGUAAAGCGUGCGCAGGCGGCUUUGCAAGACAGAUGUGAAAUCCCCGGGCUCAACCUGGGAACUGCAUUUGUGACUGCAAGGCUAAAGUACGGCAGAGGGGGAUGGAAUUCCGCGUGUAGCAGUGAAAUGCGUAGAUAUGCGGAGGAACACCAAUGGCGAAGGCAAACCCCUGGGCCUGUACUGACGCUCAUGCACGAAAGCGUGGGGAGCAAACAGG
rnacentral:rRNA from 1 species